rnacentral:rRNA from 1 species
CGGACGGGUGAGUAACACGUAAGACCUGCCCCUUGGGUGGAAUACACCUGGGGGGGUGCUAAUACUGGAUAUAUCUACGGAUGAAAGAGGGCUUCGGCUUUCACCAGGUGAUGGGCUUGCGGCCCAUUAGCUUGUUGGUGAGGUAACUGCUCACCAAGGCGACGAUGGGUAGCCGGCCUGAGAGGGUGUACGGUCACACUGGAACUGAGACACGGUCCAGACUCCUACGGGAGGCGGCAGUGGGGAAUAUUGGUCAAUGGGCGAAAGCCUGAACCAGCAAUGCCGUGUGGGCGAUGAAGCUUCUAGGAGUGUAAAGCCCUUUUCUAGGGGAAGAACCGCAUCGGGACGAAUAAUCCCGAUGCCUGACGGUACCUUAGGAAUAAGCCCCGGCUAACUCCGUGCCAGCAGCCGCGGUAAUACGGAGGGGGCAAGCGUUGUUCGGAAUCACUGGGCGUAAAGGGCGCGUAGGCCGCCUUGGAGGUCAGAUGUGAAAGCCCCGGGCUUAACGCGGGAAUUGC